CAGACCCGCUCAGCUCUCCAUGAGCCUUCAAGCCAAGUUUCUCGAGAAGAAAAUCUCCCAGAACUCUGAGAGCUGCUGCCCCCAUGGGGGACAGGGCACAAGGACGGGAAGCACCGCCCCUGGUGUGCGAGGUGUGUGGACAGCCAGCUCUGCCCCAGUGUGCGAGGUGUGUGGACAGCCGGCUCCGCCCCCGGUGUGCGAGGUGUGUGGACAGCCAGCUCUGCCCCAGUGUGCGAGGUGUGUGGACAGCCAGCCCUGCCCCUGGCGUGCGAGGUGUGUGUGGAGAGCCGGCUCUGCCCCGGUGUGCGAGGUGUGUGGACAGCCGGCCCCGCCCCCGGUGUGCGAGGUGUGUGGACAGCCGGCUCCGCCCCUGGUGUGCGAGGUGUGUGGACAGCCAGCUCUGCCCCAGUGUGCGAGGUGUGUGGACAGCCGGCUCCGCCCCCGGUGUGCGAGGGUGUGUGGACAGCCAGCUCUGCCCCAGUGUGCGAGGUGUGUGGACAGCCAGCCCUGCCCCUGGCGUGCGAGGUGUGUGUGGAGAGCCGGCUCUGCCCCGGUGUGCGAGGUGUGUGGACAGCCGGCCCCGCCCCCGGUGUGUGAGGUGUGUGUGGACAGCUGGCCCCGCCCCUGGUGUGUGAGGUGUGUGGACAGCCAGCCCCGCCCCUGGUGUGCGAGGUGUGUGUGGACAGCUGGCUCCACCCCAGUGUGUGAGGUGUGUGUGGACAGCCGGCUCUGCCCCUGGUGUGCAAGGUGUGUGGACAGCCGGCCCCUCCCCAUGUGUGCGAGGUGUGUGUGGACAGCCGGCCCCGCCCCCAGCGUGCGAUGUGUGUGCUGGAUAGCUGGCCCCUCCCCCAGUGUGCGAGGUGUGUGGACAGCCGGCCCUGCCCCUGGUGUGCGAGGUGUGUGUGGACAGCCGGCCCCGCCCCUGGUGUGCUAGGUGUGUGGAAGCCGGCCCUGCCCCCGGUGUGUGAGGUGAGUGCUGGAUAGCUGGCCCCGCCCCUGGUGUGCUAGGUGUGUGGACAGCUGGCCCCGCCCCUGGUGUGUGAGGUGUGUGGACAGCCGGCCCCGCCCCUGGUGUGCGAGGUGUGUGUGGACAGCUGGCUCUGCCCCUGGUGUGCAAGGUGUGUGGACAGCCGGCCCCGCCCCUGGUGUGCAAGGUGUGUGGACAGCCGGCUC
rnacentral:lncRNA from 1 species